rnacentral:rRNA from 1 species
CACCGCCCGUCACAUCACGAAAGUGGGUUGUACUAGAAGUCUGCGCCCUGACCCGCAAGGGGAGGAGCGGCCCAAGGUAUGACUCAUGAUUGGGGUGUA